UGCAAGAUGUGAAAAUCGAGAUGCAAGAAGAUAUGCCAUCACUACCGAUGAGAAAAUUCGAAAAGUGUGGCUUGAGCGCAUCGGCAAUAGGAAACUUUUGGAAUUGGAGAAAUAUCAAAUUAAGCAUGUUAGAAUAUGCCAGUGCCAUUUUCAUAGUGAUUGUUUGGAAAGCAAUGGAAAGCUGAAAAAAGGUUCUUUGCCCUCAAUUGAUUUGCCACGUAAUUAACUGAAGGAGCUUUAUAGUAGGUAUAAAUACUCAUAUUUUGUAUUAUUGAAUUCAUUAUUUUUAGUUUUUGAGAAUGUUUUCAAUGCAAUUAUUAGUUUAUUGAUUAGAUAUUUAUGAAAUAAAUCUGUAUUUUUAA